rnacentral:rRNA from 1 species
AGAGUUUGAUCAUGGCUCAGAACGUACGCUGGCGGCACGCCUAAUACAUGCAAGUCGAACGAAGUAGCAAUACUUAGUGGCAGACGGGUGAGUAACAUGUGGGUAUCUUCCCUUUGGUGAGGAAUAACACGAGGAAACUUGUGCUAAUACCUCAUAAGUCUUUACGGAGAAAGCUUUAUGCGCCAUUGGAUGAGCCCGCACUUGAUUAGUUUGUUGGUGGGGUAAUGGCCUACCAAGACUUUGAUCAAUAGCUGAUUUGAGAGGAUGAUCAGCCACAUUGGGACUGAGACACGGCCCAAACUCCUACGGGAGGCAGCAGUAGGGAAUCUUGCACAAUGGAGGAAACUCUGAUGCAGCGAUGCCGCGUGAGUGAAGAAGGCCUUUGGGUUGUAAAGCUCUUUCGUCGGGGAAGAAAAUGACUGUACCCGAAUAAGAAGGUCCGGCUAACUUCGUGCCAGCAGCCGCGGUAAUACGAAGGGACCUAGCGUAGUUCGGAAUUACUGGGCUUAAAGAGUUCGUAGGUGGUUAAAAAAGUUGGUGGUGAAAGCCCAGAGCUUAACUCUGGAACGGCCAUCAAAACUUUUUAGCUAGAGUAUGAUAGAGGAAAGCAGAAUUUCUAGUGUAGAGGUGAAAUUCGUAGAUAUUAGAAAGAAUACCAAUUGCGAAGGCAGCUUUCUGGAUCAUUACUGACACUGAGGAACGAAAGCAUGGGUAGCGAAGAGGAUUAGAUACCCUCGUAGUCCAUGCCGUAAACGAUGUGUGUUAGAUGUUGGAAAUUUAUUUUCAGUAUCGCAGCGAAAGCAAUAAACACACCGCCUGGGGAGUACGACCGCAAGGUUAAAACUCAAAUGAAUUGACGGGGACCCGCACAAGUAGUGGAGCAUGUGGUUUAAUUCGAAGAUACGCGCAGAACCUUACCAACACUUGACAUGUUCGUCGCGACUCUAAGAGAUUAGAGUUUUCGGUUCGGCCGGACGAAACACAGGUGCUGCAUGGCUGUCGUCAGCUCGUGUCGUGAGAUGUUGGGUUAAGUCCCGCAACGAGCGCAACCCUCACUUUUAGUUGCCAUCAUUUAGUUGGGCACUCUGAAAGAACUGCCAGUGAUAAGCUGGAGGAAGGUGGGGAUGACGUCAAGUCCUCAUGGCCCUUACGUGUUGGGCUACACACGUGCUACAAUGGCAUUUACAAUAGGAAGCAAAACGGCGACGUUAAGCAAAUCCUAAAAAAAUGCCUCAGUUCGGAUUGUACUCUGCAACUCGAGUACAUGAAGCUGGAAUUACUAGUAAUCGCGGAUCAGCGUGCCGCGGUGAAUACGUUCCCGGGUCUUGUACACACCGCCCGUCACACCAUGGGAGUUGGUUCUACCUUAAGGCAAAGCUUAAAACCUUUGACCACGGUAUAGUCAGCGACUGGGGUGAAGUCGUAACAAGGUAGCCGUAGGGGAAC